CUACUCACCUGGCAGGGGAGACACCGUGACCACGAGGGUAGUUUUCUCGGGGCGAGGCUUAUCCAUUGUACUCCGGAUAUGCAAUUUCCCCAAAACACGUGUGAAACUUGACUGCGUAAUUGGUGGUAGGGCCAGGGAUGUCGCUCAGUG
rnacentral:snRNA from 1 species